GAUGAAGAACGUAGCGAAAUGCGAUAAGUAAUGUGAAUUGCAGAAUUCAGUGAAUCAUCGAAUCUUUGAACGCAACUUGCGCUCUCUGGUAUUCCGGAGAGCAUGCCUGUUUGAGUGUCAUGAAAUCUCAACCAUUAGGGUUUCUUAAUGGCUUGGAUUUGGAGGCUGCCAUUCUAAAUGGCUCCUCUUAAAGGAGUUAGCAAGUUUUACUAUUGCUAUCUGGCGUAAUAAGUUUCGCUGGAAUGGUAUUGUGAAGCGUGCUUCUAAUCGUCUUCGGACAAUUACUUUGACUCUGGCCUCAAAUCAGGUAGGACUACCCGCUGAACUUAAGCAUAUCAAUAAGCGGAGGA
rnacentral:misc_RNA from 1 species